rnacentral:misc_RNA from 1 species
GAUGAAGAACGUAGCGAAAUGCGAUAAGUAGUGUGAAUUGCAGAAUUCAGUGAAUCAUCGAAUCUUUGAACGCACAUUGCGCCCCUUGGUAUUCCAUGGGGCAUGCCUGUUCGAGCGUCAUUUGUACCUUCAAGCUUUGCUUGGUGUUGGGUGUUUGUCUCGCCUUUGCGUGUAGACUCGCCUUAAAAUAAUUGGCAGCCGGCGUAUUGAUUUCGGAGCGCAGUACAUCUCGCGCUUUGCACUCAUAACGACAGCGUCCAAAAGUACAUUUUACACUCUUGACCUCGGAUCAGGUAGGGAUACCCGCUUAACUUAAGCAUAUCAAUAAGCGGAGGA